ACCAACACCAGGAACUGCGUUGAUCGGUGUCGUUGGCACUGGAGAGGGUGUACCGAUGUUGCACGUUGUUGUUACCGCCACUGCUGUCUCCUCCGUUGUGGGUCCACCGAGCACACGACUCUCCAUCUUCGAAAGUGCCCCUUCUACUAGACUACACAACGUGCAACGUUUCCCCACCAUUUCAACAUUCACGUGCGGUUAUCCCCACUGCUCUUUGCAAUUUCCCCACUCCAGUAUGCGAUGAGUAACGAUAGGCAUUGUCGCGUUAACCACAGUACGUAAAUCUCACUUUCUUAUGUUCUUUAAUUCUCACAUCUCAAUAAAUAGUAAGUUAUUAUUAUUAUCUUUACAAUAAUGCAAAUCAUGUUCCAUCAUUAUAUUCAAAUGAUUUGUUCAAUGAAUUCUACAGUUACAGCUUCUAGAAUUCAUAUUAUUAUAAAUGAUCAAGUUUAGAAAAUUAUAAAAUCUUUCAAUCAUUUUCUCUUCAUAGGUAACUACAUAUGAUUAUAUAUGUAGACAUACUUACAUGUAUAUGCCCCUCCUUAGUCCAUCACGUCGGUGCAAAAACUAUCCCUCCACUAUCCUUUUGAACUUUACCAUCUCGGCAAACGAGUGGUAGUAGAGAGAGAUAGAAAGAAAAUGUCCCCCUUAAAAAGCCAUUUUUCCUCCCCUCGUUGUGUGCACCCCCCAGUGACAUACCACUUCUUUAGCCAACCAUUGCAUUGGUCCACAAGCAGCUAAUAUUUUUGUAGAUUUAAUACUGCGUUAUCUACAAAUUUCGAAUGAUAUCUCAAUUAUGAUCAAAUUAAUUUAAUAUUUUAUUAUUAUUGUUCCCUGCUAUCGUGUUGAAUGAUUCUUACUUUUUUAACCGUUCAAUGGCAUCAUAGUUCUUUCUCUACUUUAGUCUGUUACCCUUGCUUCUGCCAGCGGUAUUUUUGCACCCAUCCGCCCACUACUAUUACCACUACCCUUCGUCAUACCAUUCCCACUCCAUUGGCCUACCUUUUCUGCGCCAGUAGAAAUAGAGGGAAAGAUUGUUAUUCUCGUAAAUGGAAAAAGCGAGCUGGAGAUGGAGGUUUUGCCAGCCAAUCGCUGCUGCGAGCGAAAUUUUUUGUUUCACCCUCGUCGUCGACAUACUCGUCGAAGGGUAAGUUAGAAGAGACGGAAUGGAUAAGGUUGUUAAAGUUUAUCUUUAAAAAAGAAAAAGAUAAUGAUAUUCUGUAAAGUUUGCAACGACUAAAUAACUUUUUUUUUCGUUAAGUAAUAAUAAAAAUACAUUGGGUUAAGGUUCCAAUUAAAUAUGCAUUCUUGCGCUUAAUAUUCUAUUGUAUCUAUAACAAUGUAAGGAGAAAAGAAUUUUGAACAUCUGACCUUCAAAGUGGCGAUAUAAUUCGUCGGAUAUGCGUCGUAUGCAAAUUUUUAAACGCUGAGAAAGGGUUUAAGCAGACAGUGGUCACUUUUUUUUUCGUCGCAACCUCCCCGUUCCCCACCAUAAGAAAAUAAAAAACUAAGGUGUGUGUCCCUUCAAUGAUGGGACGCGUGAGACCCUGAAUCUCUGGCUGUCAAAAUGCGUCGCUGAAUUAAUCGGAUCGAAUUAAUGAAAAGAAUACAUCAGUUAUUAUUAUUUACAAUAUUUAAAACAAAAUAUGGAAUUUCGCGUAAUUAAGAAGAACACAUUUAUCUAAUAUAGUCACUGUUAUUUUUCGCUUCUAAUAAAAGCAAGAAUAGACUUAGUAUAAUUAGUUUAACUGUUCAUCAUAAGAAACAAGUUAAAUAUUGGUAAUAUUCGUUGAAUAUUUAGGUCGCUAUACACACAAUAGUUACGCUGUUUUCAAAAGAAAAUGCGUAUCUCGCAUUAUUACAUACAAGCUGAUGUACAGUUAACUAUUUAUAAACUAUAUAUAAAUACAUAAAAAUCUGUUUGAAGACAUGUCAAUAAAUGAUAUAUUAAAAGUA